rnacentral:rRNA from 1 species
UACGUAGGGUGCGAGCGUUGUCCGGAAUUAUUGGGCGUAAAGAGCUCGUAGGCGGUGUGUCGCGUCGGCCGUGAAAACCUGGGGCUCAACUCUGGGCGUGCGGUCGAUACGGGCAUCACUUGAGUUCGGCAGGGGAGACUGGAAUUCCUGGUGUAGCGGUGAAAUGCGCAGAUAUCAGGAGGAACACCGGUGGCGAAGGCGGGUCUCUGG